CUCGUUUUUCAUGGCCAGUAACCAUUUAAGUGAAAUGGUGCGGUUUGGAGAACACCUGGAGUAAUAAGUGUUAGGUUGUUUUCAAGCUGUUAUUCUACAACUUUAGGGCACUAAUCAGGAAAGGAGGGUGGUUAAGUAACAGUCUUUUUCUCUCUAAUUCUCUCCAUCUCUCUCUUUGUUUCUUCUACAGAUUUUCUAUUCUUUUCGUUACAAGGUAUCAAAGCCACUAUUUCCUCAAGGCCAACGAAGGCGUCACCACCAGACUUCAGAAGGAAAUGGGACAGAUGCAACAAGAGCUACCUCAAUUGCAGUUGGAGGUUUCUCAAAUUGACACCAGGAUUGACUCGCGUUUGAAGGACUUCCAUGACAAUAUCAAAGAUGAGUGAUCCAAAGUGAGAUGGUUCAACUCAAAGUUCACAAAAUUCUUCCCCAAGUAGAGAUGAUCAAAAAACAACUAAGCAAAAUGUUCGAAAAAAGAUUACUCCAAUGGCAGCUUGUUGGAACCAUUUUACCAAAUUUGUGACUAAAGAGGAGGAGAAGAGAGCAAGGUGCAAUGCAUGUGAUGUUACUUACGCCAUGAAAUCAACUUUGGGUUCUACAACAAAUUUGAAUAACCAUUUGAAAACAUGCCUAAAAAGACCUUGAGAUAUUUCAAGAUUAUCAACGGUGUUUGAAGCACAAGAAGAAACUUAAACUAUUCUAUAAUGGUUUUUGAAGUGAUGUGUUAUUGUUAUUAGUUUGGUUUGAUUUGUUAUUGUUGUUGGUUAAUUGGACUUUUGUUGUUUUUUUUUUGGAUUGGUAUAGAUUUCUAUUGUAUUUGGACUUUUGCUUAUGUUUUUCUUUAAUUAUAAUGUUGUUGUUUUCUUUGACUCAUGUUGUUUACUUGGACUUUUACUUAUGUUUUUUAUUAUAA